GUUUUCUAAAACCACGGACCACUCCGUCAUCAUCUACGAGACAGAGAGACGGACACAAUCGUAUCCUCUCCUCCUCUCUUCUCCGUCUGCUGUGAGACUCCUUGUGCUUUUUCGACUCCUCCUGCAGCAAACCCUACUCCUGUAGCAACCUGUCAUCGUUUGUUUGUUGUUAAAAGCAUGUUGGUUGUUCAGAUUUGUGAUCUCAAAUCUUCACUCUGUCUCUACAGUAGUGGAGAGCAGAGAGCUACGAAGUAGAGACUGGUAGAAAUUCGAUUGUUGGGUUCGUUCCUGUUUCUCGGGUUAACCUAACUACUGCACUACUGGGUUUAUAGAGGGGUUUUGGUUGAAUUGUCUGGUGAUAUUGGGGUUUUUGGUUUGUAUCAUUGCCUAUUUUACAGCAUGAUUUUGGUUGAAUUGUUUGCUGCUUGAGACUCGCUAGUAUAAUCUCACAACUUGCUGAGGGAUCUAUUUAUAAGCUAGAUUUGGUACUCCAGUUUUAACGAUGCGGGAUAAUCCCACAUCAACAUGUGGCCGCGGAAUCUUGUUAUUGAGUUGUUAAUUAGUUAAGUAUCAAAUAAAAGGACAAUCGAAGAAGGAUUAGUCCACCAACAACCCAAGAAAUCUAACCAGGUGCAAGGCUAAGUUCAAAAGAGGUUCCUGAGCGGGGUGCAGAAUUACAUAUUGUAAAUAAGCCAGUGGGUUCAUUAAUUUUGGGAUCUCUUGUAUGUUACAAGUAUUAUCAUCUCCUACGAUUAAAUUUCUCUAUGUUCAUUUAAAUGUCAUUGGUCAGAGCUAUUGGUGUUCUUGAACGAAAAGCAGCUGCAACAAAGCCUCAUUCUACUUGGAUUUUUUUUUUUAAAAAAAAGUUGGACACAUCUGAUAUGAUUCCAACAGAAAUAAGGCUUUCAUUAUG